GAGUAAUACAUCGGACUGUCCUUAAGUGGGGAAUACGCAUCGAAAGAUGUGCUAAUACCGCAUAUCUCUCAGGAGGAAAGCAGGGGAUCGAAAGACCUUGCGCUAAAGGAGCGGCUGAUGUCUGAUUAGCUAGUUGGUGGGGUAAAGGCUUACCAAGGCAACGAUCAGUAGCUGGUCUGAGAGGACGACCACCCACACUGGGACUGAGACACGGCCCAGACUCCUACGGGAGGCAGCAGUGGGGAAUUUUGGACAACGGGCGAAAGCCUGAUCCAGCCAUGCCGCGUGAGUGAAGAAGGCCUUCGGGUUGUAAAGCUCUUUUAGUCGGAAAGAAAGAGUCAUAGUAAAUAGCUAUGAUUUAUGACGGUACCGACAGAAAAAG
rnacentral:rRNA from 1 species